rnacentral:misc_RNA from 1 species
GGCGACGAAAAUCAGUUUAGUUAUGGAUCGACAAGCUCCUGAUUAUGCAGCUGCCAUGGCGUUUGCUCAACAGCAGCACCAAGCAGCUAACACACAACAGCAACAACAGUUUGGUUUUCAUCCCCAACAUCAACAAUUUCCUCCUUCAAUUCAUGGUCCUCCAUUUCCAGGCCCACAUUCUUCUCUUCAACAGUUCCCUUACCCUCGCCCUAUGCAGCAACCACAACUCCAUCCGCAUACACCCCCUCCACAUCUUCUUCAUCUUCAGCAGCAACAACAACCACCUCCUGCUUUUCCACCACACAUGCCUCCUCAUCUUGUUCCAUCACUUUUUUUCAAUCCGUAUGAUUCUCC